UACGUAGGGUGCGAGCGUUAAUCGGAAUUACUGGGCGUAAAGCGUGCGCAGGCGGUGAUGUAAGACCGAUGUGAAAUCCCCGGGCUUAACCAGGGAACUGCAUUGGUGACUGCAUCGCUCGAGUAUGGCAGAGGGGGGUAGAAUUCCACGUGUAGCAGUGAAAUGCGUAGAGAUGUGGAGGAAUACCGAUGGCGAAGGCAGCCCCCUGGGUCAAUACUGACGCUCAUGCACGAAAGCGUGGGGAGCAAACAGG
rnacentral:rRNA from 1 species